rnacentral:rRNA from 1 species
UACGGGGGGGGCAAGCGUUGUUCGGAAUUACUGGGCGUAAAGGGCUCGUAGGCGGCCAGCUAAGUCAGACGUGAAAUCCCUCGGCUCAACCGGGGAACUGCGUCUGAUACUGGAUGGCUUGAGUGUGGGAGAGGGAUGCGGAAUUCCAGGUGUAGCGGUGAAAUGUGUAGAUAUCUGGAGGAACACCGGUGGCGAAGGCGGCAUCCUGGACCACGACUGACGCUGAGGAGCGAAAGCCAGGGGAGCAAACGGG